GGCAAGCUGCCCGCACGCUUCAAGGGGCAUCCUGACCUUGGCAGCUGUGCAAUCUUAGUGGGAAUCUGAAAUGCAAACUUAAGGGUUCCCUGGGAAGUUAGGUGUGUCGGAUGGGGUUUCCGCUAAAGCAGACACGUGAGACAUUUCACGGAAGUGGACACAGGUGACAGGAUGUUCUGCUAAAGCAAGCACACAGACAGACGCGUGAUGAAGGGCUCUUUGCAAACGACGCGGAUGCACUGGUUGGAGUUACACUGAGUAGCUGAGCUCCAUUCGUCGCGACUCCACAGAGAGAAAGGCACCGGAAAACUUCCGGUGGUGUGCUGGCGGCUUCCUGUGGACCCAGUCCGAUCGACUGAUCGAUCGAUCGGCAGAGUGAUGUCAACUGAUACAGACUGUGGAGGUUUGCUAAGACAGACUCACUUGCUGAGGCAGGACACGUGUGUUUGCAGGUGUAUCGAGCUGCUGCCGCCGACCUGUGAACUGAACUGCUGAUUUUCAGACCACGCAGAUGGGAUUGGCUUCAAAGAAGAAUUUCUAAACUGGUCCACUUCCCCGUGUCCUCUCUUUUCCGCUGCCUCCGGGGGAAGGUGGGCUAGUAGGGAGGUUAAAGCCUUUUAGAACCGUCAUUAAAAACAGGGUUUGAAAGUUGAA